rnacentral:rRNA from 1 species
GACGAACGCUGGCGGCGUGCUUAACACAUGCAAGUCGAGCGGUAAGGCCCUUUCGGGGGUACACGAGCGGCGAACGGGUGAGUAACACGUGGGUGACCUGCCUUUAGCUCUGGGAUAAGCCUGGGAAACUGGGUCUAAUACCGGAUAUGACUCCGCGGUGCAUGCUGUGGGGUGGAAAGCCUUGUGCGGCUGGGAGAUCGGGCCCGCGGCCUAUCAGCUUGUUGGUGGGGUGAUGGCCACCAAGGCGACGACGGGUAGCCGGCCUGAGAGGGCGACCGGCCACACUGGGACUGAGACACGGCCCAGACUCCGUACGGGAGGCAGC